GCCGGGUGCGGUGGGCAUGCCUGUAGUCCCAGCUACUCCGGAGGCUGAGGUGGGAGGAUCACUUGAGCCCAGGAGUUCUGGGCUGUAGUGCGCUAUGCCGAUAGGGUGUCUGCAGUAAAUUUGGCAUCAAUAUGGUGACCUCCCGGGAGCGGAGGACCACCAGGUUGCCUAAGGAGGGGUGAACCAGCCCACAUCGGAAGCGGAGCACGUCAAAACUCCCGUGCUGAUCAGUAGUGGGAUCGCGCCUGUGAAUAGCCACUGCACUCCAGUCUGGGCAACACAGCGAGACCCCGUCUCU
rnacentral:SRP_RNA from 1 species